rnacentral:rRNA from 1 species
UACGUAGGGUGCAAGCGUUAAUCGGAAUUACUGGGCGUAAAGCGCGCGCAGGCGGUUUUGUAAGUCUGUCGUGAAAGCCCCGGGCUCAACCUGGGAAUUGCGAUGGAGACUGCAAGGCUUGAAUCUGGCAGAGGGGGGUAGAAUUCCACGUGUAGCAGUGAAAUGCGUAGAGAUGUGGAGGAACACCGAUGGCGAAGGCAGCCCCCUGGGUCAAGAUUGACGCUCAUGCACGAAAGCGUGGGGAGCAAACAGG